GACAUAGGUUGCGAACGUUAUCCGGAAUUAUUGGGCGUAAAGGAUGCGUAGAUGGUUUGAUAAGUUAUCAGUGGCAAAUCGGGGCUCAACCUCGUGGAAGCUGGUAAUACUGUUAUACUCGAGUGCAGGAGAAGUUAACGGAACUCUAUAUGGAGCGGUAAAAUGUGACGAUAUAUAGAAGAACACCAAUAAGGCGAAGGCAGUUAACUAUUCUGUUACUGACAUUGAGGCACGAAAGCGUGGGGAGCAAAACGG
rnacentral:rRNA from 1 species